UUCAUCUAAAAAAUUAACAAAAUUAUUAUAUUAACUUGUAUUCCGAAGCAAAGCGAAAGAAUCAUUCAACAUUAUUAAAAGAUUUACAACAAUGAAAUAUCAUACUAUUUUAUUAAGAUUGGGUUCUAUUUUCAGUGUAGAUUUUCUAAAAGGUUACAUAUGCUCUAUAAAGCUUGAGUACUUUUGAAUACUGGAACCCAAUCUAUUAUAUGAUGUCUAAUCUAUCUUUCUUAAGAUUGAGUUCCAAUAUUCACUGCAAGUACUUAAAGUCUAUAGAGCACAUUUUUUGUAAACUAUUGAAAGAUGUACACUGAAAGCGGAUUCUCUAAAUAUUUUCUGUGAAUUCUUAGAAUAAAUGCACUAUAAGUAUCAUAAUCAAUUUGAAUAUUACAAAAUGCUAAACGUACACUAUUGAUAUUAAACGCUUACUGUAUAUAAUAAAACACCUAAGAUGUUGUGUACAAUGGAGGAAAUGUUACGAAGAGGAAUCAAAUAUUACUUUGCUCAUACUUUUUAUCAAGUAUCGAGUUUGAACUGCGCUAAGUAAUGUCGAUUGCCUAAAGAUCAUCCACUUAGACUAUCGAUAUUAGUCGACGCUACUCAAACUCGACUGGUAAUUGAUAAGAAAUAUGUAUGAGAUAAUAUGUAAUUUCUGUCUCAAAUAUUUUCUCCAUUGCGCAGCCUAAGAGUGAAAAUGAAUUGCACAGAUACCUUCAUUCGAUGUGUCGCCAUAAAAUUUACGUUCUUUAAUAAACAUUUUUUUCGGAAUAUUCUCUUUUUCUUCCUGUAGGACAAUAUUGUAUCAUCUGACGUAGACAUUUGGGCUACUGCUUGUUCAACUGACCGUGCAUUUGAAUAUUUGGCUUCUGGCGACUCGAUGGUGUCAAUAUCUUAUCAAUACUUAUUAGGAUGUACAACAGUAAGCAAUAUUAUAUCUGAAACAUGCGAAGUAAUUUGGAAUGAGUUAUGCCCAAUUGUCCUUCCACCUUCUUUAUCGAAAAAAGAUUGAAAAAAUAUUGCAGCAGACUUUGAUCAACGAUGCGAUUUCCCUCACUGUAUCGGUGCUAUUGAUGGAAAACACAUUGUUAUUCAAUGCCCUAAUAAUGCUGGUUCCAUGUAUUACAAUUAUAAACACAGCCAUAGUAUCGUUUUAAUGGCAGUAUGCGAUGCUAACUAUAUGUUUACAUUUGUUGACAUUGGAGCCUAUGGUAGACGCAGCGAUGGUGGAAUUUUUAAAGAAUACCAAUUUGGCAAAAAAUUUGAACAAAAUAAAAUGAACGUACCAGAAGCAGAGGAUAUUUCUAGAAAUGGUCCCAAAUUGCCGUAUUGCCUUGUUGGAGAUGAAGCAUUUCCUUUAAAAGAAUAUUUGCUUCGACCAUACUCAGGAAGGGGCGGGCUGACUAAAGAAAAAAAUAUAUUCAAUUAUCGACUAAGUCGUGCCAGACGAGUGAUUGAAAAUACAUUUGGUAUUCUUGCCUGUCAAUGGCGAAUACUGAGAAAGCCAAUAAUUGGCAAAGUAGAAACUGUUGAAAGAAUUGUGCAAAGCAUUGUGUGUUUGCAUAAUUGGUUACGAAAACAGGACAUAAACAAAAAUGAAUACAAGUAUGAUCGAUCAUGAUGGUCCUAAUGGUUUUACACCUGGUUCUUGGAGAAUGGUUGUUGAAAACGGUUCUGCUUAUCGUGAGGUACAAAGAGCAGGGGCAUAUAUGAGUACUCAGAAAAGUAUGGAAGUGCGAGAAAAUUUUAGCGAAUAUUUUAAUAAUGACGGAUCUGUACCAUGGCAAGAUGAUUAUGUUUAAUUGUAAAAUACACAAAGUAAUUUGUUAGUACAUAUAAAAAAUUUAAUAGGAUUUUCUUAGUUCAUUUUUAAUUAGUUUUUAUUUUAUUAGCUUAUUUUAUAAAAAAAAAAGAUUCUAUGUAGACCCAAAUGUAUGUUUCAUAUUCUUUUUAUAUUAUUCAUUUUCUAUAAAUGUUAAAAUAAAUGACUUCGAUAAAA